rnacentral:rRNA from 1 species
UGAGGAAUAUUGGUCAAUGGCGGAGCUGACCAGCCAAGUCGCGUGAGGGAAGACGGUCCUAUGGAUUGUAAACCUCUUUUGCAGGGAGGCAAGACGCGGUACGUGUACCGUGCUGGAGAGUACCUGAGAAAAAGCAUCGGCUAACUCCGUGCUAGCAGCCGCGGUAAUACGGAGGAUGCGAGCGUUAUCCGGAUUUAUUGGGUUUAAAGGGUGCGUAGGCGGACUGGUAAGUCAGCGGUAAAAAUUGCGGUGCUCAACGCCGUAGUGCCGUUGAAACUGCCGGUCUUGAGUGAGCGAGAAGUAUGCGGAAUGCGUGGUGUAGCGGUGAAAUGCAUGGAUAUCACGCAGAACUCCGAUUGCGAAGGCAGCAUACCGGCGCUCAACUGACGCUGAGGCACGAAAGCGUGGGGGAUCGAACAGGAUUAGAUACC